UCUUCUCUGUAUAGCUCCCAACAAUGGCGAUGACAAUGGCGUCCCUCUCCUUCCCAUCCUCUCUCCAAAAACCAACCUUAUCCUCUUCACUACUCACCCCAACCCUCCUCCCAUCGAAAGCCUCUUCCUUUCUCACCAAACCUAAACGAAAACCCCUCACAAUCUCCAUGUCCAUGGAAGCCGGAAUCGGCGUGAUGGCCUCAAAGCUCGGCAUGAUGUCUUUCAACCGACUGAAACUAGCAAGAACCAAGAUUCCUUUGUUAUAAGGGAUGGAGCUUGUACUUUGAAGAUGAUCCAAUCCAUACAGAUGGUCGCUGAUGUGCGGCAGUUCCAAACUAUUGAAGCACGUUUUAGCAACAAAAGGAGGAGAUACAUUGAGGGAUGCGUUUCCAUCUCACCUAACAGUUACGGUAUAUCGACUCGCCUUUGGGAAUAGAUUCAAUCGGGGGACGCAAUGGUUCUCCUCUGAAGUUUGAAGGAACAUGUUCAGAAAAUAUGUCUAGUGGAUUCGAAAUCUAAAGAUAGUCGUUGGUAAAACACAAGACGUGUGCAUGAAUGUUCGUGAUUCUGUAACAAAAUUUCAUCAAGAAUAUUUGACCAU